AACUUUCGGCAAUGGAUCACGUGGCUCUCGCAUCGAUGAAGAACGCAGCGAAAUGCGAUAAGUAAUGUGAAUUGCAGAAUUCAGUGAAUCAUCGAAUCUUUGAACGCACCUUGCGCCCCUCGGCUAUUCCUUGGGGCAUGCCUGUUUGAGUAUCAUGAACACCUCCACUCGCAUGGUUUGCCAUGAAGAGCUUGGACUCUGGGGGUUUGCUGGCCAUUUCAGUCGGCUCCUCUCAAAUGAAUUAGCUUGCCAGUGUUUGGUGGCAUCACGGGUGUGAUAAAUAUCUACGCUCGCGGUUGUCUGCCAGGUACCCUUUGGUGACAAAGGUUUGCUGGAGCUCACCAAUGUCCCCCUUCAGAGAGGACAGCUUUUUGAACGUUCGAUCUCAAAUCAGGUAGGACUACCCGCUGAACUUAAGCAUAUCAAUAAGCGGAGGCU
rnacentral:misc_RNA from 1 species